rnacentral:rRNA from 1 species
CUGGCUCAGGAUUAACGCUGGCGGCGUGCCUAAUACAUGCAAGUCGAAUGGUAGCAAUACCAUGGCGAACGGGUGAGUAACACGUAGGUAACCUGUCUUUAAGCCGAGGAUAACCAUUGGAAACGAUGGAUAAUACUGGAUAGGAUAUUUUAAGGCAUCUUUUAAUAUUUAAAGAUUUAUCACUUAGAGAGGGGCCUGCGGCGCAUUAGCUAGUUGGUGAGGUGAAGGCUUACCAAGGCGAUGAUGCGUAGCCGGACUGAGAGGUUGAACGGCCACAAUGGAACUGAGAACGGUCCAUACUCCUACGGGAGGCAGCAGUAGGGAAUUUUCGGCAAUGGGCGGAAGCCUGACCGAGCAACGCCGCGUGAACGAAGAAGUAUUUCGGUAUGUAAAGUUCUUUUAUUAGGGACGAAAAGACAGAUUGACGGUACCUAAUGAAUAAGCUCCGGCUAACUACGUGCCAGCCGCUGC